rnacentral:lncRNA from 1 species
CCGGCAGAAGCGAGCGAGCCGAGCGGCGGGAGGUUCUUGUUGCCUAAUUUCUCACAUGAAGGAAUGAAGUUUUUCUGGACCAGCAUGGGUAUAUAAACAUUUUCAAGAUGGCUAAGAACUGUGGUGAAGAACCAAGUGGAAUGAUGAGAGGAAGCACCUGCUUCUACCAACUUCUACUGACAUCCAACUUGCAUAUUUGACAGCAUGGUUUCCUGACAGAAAAGUAUAUUAUGUAUUUUUAUCUGAAUUCCAAAUCUGUAUUAGAUAUGCCAUCAGUGGUUGUUUUGAAAAGAUGAGAAGGGACGCACUGUGGGGCAACACAAUGAAACUGAAAAGGUCUGCUAUUCCUGUUGUGUGCAUCCUGGCUAUGAGAGUUUUCUUGUGACUUCUGAGCCUGGUGCUGUUGACCUCAUGGGAACAAAAUAAAACAAAAAGCAACCUGAUUUUGGUAAACAAAAUGCCACGGAGAAGGAAAAUUGGUGGGAGUCCUUCUCGGAAUACUGGAGCUGCUGCUGUUGUACCCCAGGGGGACCCAAGCCUCUCAAUGUCACAACCAGCCUACAGUGUCAGUAAGGAAGAGCUCUUCAACAGCAUGUCAGAAAUGUUUUCUGACUUAGAUCCCAGUGUGGUUUAUAUGGUUCUCUCCGAAUGUGAUUUUAAAGGUAAAUAUUUGUCAUCCA